CGUGUUAAAUUUUAUCUUUAUAUCUCCAAUUCCAGCAAUUGUAUAGGCAAAGUUAUCACACAGAACUACUUGCCCAUCAUUAGAUUCUUGCAAGUUUUCAAACCAAUUCUUUUCAGACGUCACAUGAAAAGACGCACCAGAAUCUAAUAUCCAUUCAUGCAUGUGAGAAUUAGUAGUUAGAUUCAAUUCAGUAGUGUAUGCGACUGAACUAGUGAUCAC
rnacentral:lncRNA from 1 species